rnacentral:rRNA from 1 species
UGGGGAAUAUUGCACAAUGGGCGCAAGCCUGAUGCAGCCAUGCCGCGUGUAUGAAGAAGGCCUUCGGGUUGUAAAGUACUUUCAGCGGGGAGGAAGGCGAUAAGGUUAAUAACCUUGUCGAUUGACGUUACCCGCAGAAGAAGCACCGGCUACCUCCGUGCCAGCAGCCGCGGUAAUACGGAGGGUGCAAGCGUUAAUCGGAAUUACUGGGCGUAAAGCGCACGCAGGCGGUCUGUCAAGUCGGAUGUGAAAUCCCCGGGCUCAACCUGGGAACUGCAUUCGAAACUGGCAGGCUAGAGUCUUGUAGAGGGGGGUAGAAUUCCAGGUGUAGCGGUGAAAUGCGUAGAGAUCUGGAGGAAUACCGGUGGCGAAGGCGGCCCCCUGGACAAAGACUGACGCUCAGGUGCGAAAGCGUGGGGAGCAAACA